rnacentral:piRNA from 1 species
UGGUACGCCCUGCUCUACGACCCUGU